GACGAACGCUGGCGGCGUGCUUAACACAUGCAAGUCGAACGGCGACGGAGGAGCUUGCUCCUCCUGAUCAGUGGCGAACGGGUGAGUAACACGUGAGCAAUCUGCCCCUGACUCUGGGAUAACUGCGGGAAACUGUAGCUAAUACCGGAUACGACGCGCGAAGGCAUCUUCUGCGCGUGGAAAGAAUUUCGAUCAGGGAUGAGCUCGCGGCCUAUCAGCUUGUUGGUGAGGUAAUGGCUCACCAAGGCGACGACGGGUAGCCGGCCUGAGAGGGUGACCGGCCACACUGGGACUGAGACACGGCCCAGACUCCUACGGGAGGCAGCAGUGGGGAAUAUUGCACAAUGGGCGCAAGCCUGAUGCAGCAACGCCGCGUGAGGGACGACGGCCUUCGGGUUGUAAACCUCUUUUGGCAGGGAAGAAGCGAAAGUGACGGUACCUGCAGAAAAAGCACCGGCUAACUACGUG
rnacentral:rRNA from 1 species